GCCGGGCCGGCGGUCACGUGGCAGCCCCGCCCCCCGCCGUGGGCGCGGACCCGGGCGCUCGCACGUGCGGGCGCGCCCGCGGGUGGGCGGUGCGUGGGGCUCCGGCCCGAGUCCCCCAGCCACGGUCGUUCGGGCUUGCCGCUACCCCGCACCUGCCCUCUCUCCUGGUGCCAAGGACCCCGUCCGCGCGCGCCCCGGGUCUCGGGCUCCUCUUUCCGAGUUCCUCUCGAGUCCGUGCCAGGCUUCCGAGGCAGGCGCGCUCCUACUCGCCACCGCUGGGAAGGUCGGCGCCGGAUGGGGGCGGCUGUGUACCCCAAGCCCAAACCUCCGCCUGGGUGAUGCUCCCCCAGGCCCACCCUUUCUGAGGUGCCCUGUGCCAGGGAGGUGGCCCUGCCUGUGGGUUCUGAGAGCAGCCUGGCGUGUCCACCUGCAGAGCCACCCAGUGCCAGGUGCCCUACCUUCAGCAGCCUCAUCGGCCUGCUGGGCUUCUUUGAGAUUCUCCUGGUGGAUGGAACAGAAUAAACCCCACCCCCACCGUGGCUGAGGGCGCACCUUGGGGCCAAUUGCCUGGCAAGUCUGGGUUCGUGGGGCAGCCUUGCCUGUCCUGGUCCUCCAUCUUUCCAUCUCCUCUCCCAGCUGCGAACAUCCACACAAGAUUGUCCAUCACUUUUGGUCACUUCUCUCUGCACAGUCAUCAACACAGGUGCCCGUCAGAAUAUCGAUGAAAGUCCUGGCACUAACCUAGGUAGGUUCCUCUGCCCAGAGCCCUCCUCCCUGCUGUGAAAUGUCAUUCCUGACCCCUGUCCAGAUACAGCCCCAGUUCCUCUACUGGGGUCCCAGACUUCUGUUUCCUGCACUCCAGCAUUUGGGAUUGAUAAGUACUUUCAAAUACUUGAUGUCUAGCCCCUUCCCCAUGGGACUUAGGGAGACAGACUGACACCCUCACUCCCACUGUCCUCCUUGGCCCAGUCUCCACCCAGAAGCUUCCGCCUGCAGGGGCUGGUAUUCAAAGCCAGAGGCUCAGCUGCCCAGCUGGGCACCAGGAGCUACACCACAGCCUGCACUGGACUGAUCCUGUGGGGUGCUGAAGUGAGGGAGCAGGAGGGCUAGCUGGAACAGGACAGAGUGCCAGGCUGCUGACCGCGGGCGGGAAAGCUGAGACCAGGGUGGUUAGAGUGCACAGGCAUUCCUCAGAGAGCCGCACACCUCCUGCCUCUGAGGGAUUGGGGGUGGCUUCCAAAGAGGGGGCAGGGGAGUUCUUAUGGAGGAGGAUGUUGGGUCUUGGGGACAGAGUGCCUGAAGAGAUCCAUCGCUGCACUUCCCUCCACUGCCGCCCUGCCACACGGAGUGAAAAACAGGAGCACAGGGCCACACCUGCAGUCCCAGUGCUGCAGGCUGAGGCGGGAGGGUGGCACGUCCAAGGCCAGCCUAGAACUGGUCUCCCCAGAGGCAAUUGAGUGAGACCCUGUUGGGAAAUAAAAAGAAAAAGGGCUGGAGGUGUAGCUCAGCGGCAGAGCCCUCUAGAUUUAACCUCCAGCGACAGUAAGAAAAAAAGUUCAAGGUUCAAGAUGGGCCCUCAUUAAUCUUUUCUUUCUUUAUUUUAUUUUCUUCUGGUAUUGAGAUGGAACCCAGGGCCUCACCAUGCUAGUCAAGUGCUCCACUGCUGAGACAGGGUCUUGGCUAAGUUGCCAGUCUGGCCCUGAACUUGCCAUCCUCCUGCCUUUGCCUUCCAAGCAGCUGUGAUGACAGCUGUGGCCACUGCACCUGGCUCCUGGUCAUCUCGAUGAAGCUGGGUGUUGGCAUAUGAACUUCACUGGGUCUGAUGUGUGUUUAAAACCUUCCAUAUUAAAAAAAAA
rnacentral:lncRNA from 1 species